CUCAAAGCAUGAAUAACUGUUUCUUCCUCUAAGUUACAUAAUGGGCAUAAGGAAUCAUUGGUAAAAUUCCUUCUAACUUUCUCGCUCUCUAUUUGUCAAAAACUUGUUGUGUAUACAAAAGAAAAGAAAUGUGUGGAUCCUUUUAGAACCCUACCAACUCCAUAUAUUAUUACCAUUAGCAAUAUUUGACAUAAACAAACC
rnacentral:lncRNA from 1 species